CAUGUACUCCCUCCGUUCCUAAAUACUUGUCUUUCUAGACAUUUCAAAUGACUACUACAUACGGAUGUAUGUAGACAUAUUUUAGAGUGUAGAUUCACUCAUUUUGCUCCGUAUGUAGUCACUUGUUGAAAUGCCUAGAAAGACAAGUAUUUAGGAACGGAGGGAGUAUAAU
rnacentral:pre_miRNA from 1 species